rnacentral:tRNA from 1 species
CGGGGCGUAGUUCAGAGGUAGAAUGCACGGUUUGGGACCGUGAGGUCGCCCGUUCGAAUCGGGUCGCCCCGA